rnacentral:rRNA from 1 species
CCUGAGAAACCCAAAAGAUCGAAUAGGGAGAUUCAUCGUCAGCUCAUUUUGUAUAUGUAUAAGUUAUGAUGCGGGUUACUACUUGUAGUAUUGCCUGCACAUUCUUGUAUAUUUAGUUGCAAGAUGUUGUCGGCGUGCACUUCUCCCUUUGUAGGACGUCGCGACCUGUUGGGUGUCGGUCUACGGCCCAAGUGAUAGUCUUUAAUGUAAUUUAAAAAUCAUUAAAGAUCCUUGGUGUUUUCUGACCGGCUACUUGGCAGUAUUCGUACGGUAUUUAGCCGCUAAAUUAAAUAAGCGUCCAUAUCCGUCACAAGCGAGGCUAAUUUACUGAUAGUACGGACCUAGUGCCGUCGUUGGUAUUGGCCAGCUGUUGGUUGUAUGGUAAUCUAGGACUGGCUAAAAUUAAUUACCGGUCAGCGAUGCUACUGCUUUGGGUACUUUCAG